GCUCAGUUAGUUCAGUUGGCAAAAUGCUAGAUAUUUUUUUUUAUCAUAGAAACGCGAGUUCGAUUCCUGUACUGGGCC